rnacentral:rRNA from 1 species
UUGAACGCUGGUGGCAUGCCUUACACAUGCAAGUCGAACGGUAGAGGGGCAACCCUUGAGAGUGGCGAACGGGUGAGUAAUAUAUCGGAACGUGCCCAGUCGUGGGGGAUAACGCAGCGAAAGCUGCGCUAAUACCGCAUACGAUCUAUGGAUGAAAGCGGGGGAUCGCAAGACCUCGCGCGAUUGGAGCGGCCGAUAUCAGAUUAGGUAGUUGGUGGGGUAAAAG